AGUCCGGCAAUUGCAAAAGGCUUAAGCCCUUUACCCAGAGGUUCAAGUCCUCUCCCUAGCUUACCCUGAACU
rnacentral:tRNA from 1 species